GGGGUUUGCAAGCAGAAGUCUUUGGGGAACUUCCCUUUCCCUUCUUGUUUUGGUAUCCUCAGUAGCUCAUGCAGAUCCUAUUGUUCCAGCCCUCAUCAUCUUUGGGGAUUCUGUUGUUGAUGUGGGUAACAAUAAUAAUCUUAAUACAGUUAUUAAGGCAAAUUUUCCUCCUUAUGGAAGAGACUUUGUUAAUCAUAGGCCAACUGGAAGAUUCUGCAAUGGAAAACUAGCUACAGACUUCACUGCUGAGUACCUUGGAUUCACUUCAUACCCAC
rnacentral:misc_RNA from 1 species